rnacentral:misc_RNA from 1 species
CCGAGUGAGGGCCCCUGGCCCGACCUCCAACCCUUUGUUAUCAAAACCACUGUUGCCUCGGGGGCGACCCGGGCCCGUCGGUCUGGGGCCCCCGGCGGACAAUUUCAAAACACUGCAUCUUUGCGUCGGGUUUAAAAGUUUAAUUGAUUA